rnacentral:rRNA from 1 species
AUUGAACGCUGGCGGCAGGCCUUACACAUGCAAGUCGAACGAGUGGCGGACGGGUGAGUAAUGUCUGGGAAACUGCCUGAUGGAGGGGGAUAACUACUGGAAACGGUAGCUAAUACCGCAUACCAUCGGAUGUGCCCAGAUGGGAUUAGCUAGUAGGUGGGGUAAAGGCUCACCAAGGCGACGAUCCCUAGCUGGUCUGAGAGGAUGACCAGCCACACUGGGACUGAGACACGGUCCAGACUCCUACGGGAGGCAGCAGUGGGGAAGAUUGGACAAUGGGGGCAAGCCUGAUGCAGCCAUGCCGCGUGUAUGAUGAAGACCCUCGGGUUGUAAAGUACUUUCAGCGGAGAAGCGUUACCCGCAGAAGAAGCACCGGCUAACUCCGUGCCAGCAGCCGCGGUAAUAC